AGUGAACGCUGGCGGUAGGCCUAACACAUGCAAGUCGAACGGCAGCACAGUAAGAGCUUGCUCUUACGGGUGGCGAGUGGCGGACGGGUGAGGAAUACAUCGGAAUCUACUUUUCGUGGGGGAUAACGUAGGGAAACCUACGCUAAUACCGCCUACGGCCUAACGGGGAAAGCCGGGGGACCUUCGGCCUUUCGAGAUUUCAAGGGCCGAUGUCGGAUUAGCUAGUUGGCGGGGUAAAGGCCCACCAAGGCGACGACCCGUAGCUGGUCUGAGAGGAUGAUCAGCCACACUGGAACUGAGACACGGUCCAGACUCCUACGGGAGGCAGCAGUGGGGAAUAUUGGACAAUGGGCGCAAGCCUGAUCCAGCCAUACCGCGUGGGUGAAGAAGGCCUUCGGGUUGUAAAGCCCUUUUGUUGGGAAAGAAAAGCAGCAGGUUAAUACCCCGCUGUUCUGACGGUAUCCAAAGAAUAAGCACCGGCUAACUUCGUG
rnacentral:rRNA from 1 species